UACAGAGGUCCCGAGCGUUGUUCGGAUUCAUUGGGCGUAAAGGGUGCGUAGGCGGCGGGGCAAGUCUGAUGUGAAAUCCCGGGGCUCAACCUCGGAACUGCAUUGGAUACUGCCUUGCUAGAGUACUGGAGAGGGAACUGGAAUUUACGGUGUAGCAGUGAAAUGCGUAGAGAUCGGAAGGAACACCAGUGGCGAAGGCGGCUACCUGGCCUAAUACUGACACUGAGGCACGAAAGCCGUGGGGAGCAAACAGGGA
rnacentral:rRNA from 1 species